rnacentral:misc_RNA from 1 species
UCAUCUAACCCCUCAAGCUCUGCUUGGUGUUGGGCGUCUGUCCCCGCGUCCGCGCGGAGACUCGCCUCAAAUUCAUUGGCAGCGGUCCUUGCCUCCUCUCGCGCAGCACAAAUGCUCUCGAGGAGUCGCGGCCCGCGUCCACGAAGCUGUUUUACACCUUCUUUGACCUCGGAUCAGGUAGGGAUACCCGCUGAACUUAA